rnacentral:tRNA from 1 species
GAAUCAAGGCACCCAAAAUAAAGCUUCUAACUUUAAUUUUAAGCAGCGAAACUCUGUUUUUGAUUCU